rnacentral:rRNA from 1 species
GAUGAACGCUGGCGGCGUGCCUAAUACAUGCAAGUCGAACGCGAGAGGAGGGAGCUUGCUCCCUCUGAUCGAGUGGCGGACGGGUGAGUAACACGUAGGCAACCUGCCCAUCAGCCGGGGAUAACUGCGGGAAACCGUGGCUAAUACCGGAUAAUCCUCUCCACCGCGGGGUGGGGAGUUGAAAGACGGUUUCGGCUGUCGCUGAUGGAUGGGCCUGCGGCGCAUUAGCUGGUUGGCGGGGUAACGGCCCACCAAGGCAACGAUGCGUAGCCGACCUGAGAGGGUGAGCGGCCACACUGGGACUGAGACACGGCCCAGACUCCUGCGGGAGGCAGCAGUAGGGAAUCUUCCGCAAUGGACGCAAGUCUGACGGAGCAACGCCGCGUGAGUGAAGAAGGGUUUCGGCUCGUAAAACUCUGUCGUUAAGGAAGAACGCCAGGUAGAGUAACUGCUACCUGUGUGACGGUACUUAACCAGAGAGCCACGGCUAACUACGUGCCAGCAGCCGCCGUAA